rnacentral:lncRNA from 1 species
GACAGUAGCGACCGUCACCCUGGUUAUAUUUCUUCCCGCAUUUAGUUGUUGUUAAUAAUAAAUGGUUCAGUUAGAUGUUUAAAUGUUUGUGAUUUCGGUUAUGCAUGAUUAGAGAUUUUGUGGAUCACUGGUUUUGGUUUUAAGGAUAUUCAGUUCUCGGAUUUGUGUGUAUUUAUACAUAUUUAUGCAUCGUGGUUUUCUACCCUUCGCAGUAGUUGAUUUUCAAAAUAGAGUUUCCGUGUGGGAAGCAGUUUUAAAAAGAUUUUCGAAUGGUUUUCAUGAAUGAAUGAAUUAGAGUUUAAAAAUAAAAACUUCCGUGUGGGGAGCACUUUUAAAUAGGAUGCUUGUUGUAUUAUGCAUUGCAUCAUCCAGCGCCUAAGGAGUGCUUAGAGGCAUGCAUCAUCUCUAAGAAUCGUUAGCUGUAUGAAAAUGUAUAUCAUGAAUUAGUUGUUAAUUGGUAAACUUAGGUUGUGGUUGAGAUCCUGUUGUAUAGUUGGUACGCUGU